rnacentral:lncRNA from 1 species
UAGUGGAAUAAAAUUAGCAAACUUGUAGAACAAAGAAACUAUGACAUUCAAAGUAAAAGGACGCCAAGUGAAGCCCACAUAUGCAUGAUACUAUUUCCCCUCCCCACUACAUGAGAAAAUGGGACGAAAAGUUGCCUAUUACAAAACAAAGCUAAUAGCAUACAUACACAUAGAUACAUUCUUCUGUUUUACAACAAAGAAAGAAACAAUUACAUAUAUUGAUCACUACUACUUUUUGAAAUAAACUGGUCAAUAUGUGACACCUUCUGCAUAAUCUUGGAUUGCAUGCCAUCGACAGAGAAGAGAAGAGCACAUCUCCAUGUCUCAACUGAAAAGAGCAGUCCAAACCAUAGCCAAAAUCCAAAAACAACCCCGGCAGUCACACAGUAGUACAGCCACUGGUCCUCCCCUUCACCGGUUUUCUCAUCCAAAGCAGGCGAAGUAUUUGGACAAUCGGCUAGAGGAAAUCCGCAAAGGCCGGAAUUGUUCCGGUAAAACGAAGGCUCAGUCAACGUCUGCAUCUGGCUCCCAGAAGGUAUCUUGCCUGACAAAUGAUUGUUGGAGAUGUUGAAUAUGCUGAGCGUCGACAAGAACGAGAUGCUCUGUGGAAUGUGUCCUGAAAGCUCAUUACAUGAUAGAUCAAGAAACUCGAGAUUCUUCAAACUGCCGAUAUCUUCAGGGAUGCCGCAUGACAGAUGAUUUCUUGACAGGUUCAGAAAUCGGAGGCCCUGCAGGUUGGUUAGCUCUUCAGGGAUGCACUGAGACAAGAGAUUGCCUGACAGAUCGAUGCCGGUCAAUAACCGGAUGGUUCUUUGGAAGAUGAGCUCCUGGCCCUUCCAGAUUAUAUCGAUUCUAUCCUGAUAAGUCGACCCUUCCAGCGACGCCGUACUCGACACAAUUUCUGGGUUCCUCAUGGAGGUCAAGUUGCCGAAUGCUACCGGAAUUUUUCCUGUGAGUCUGUUGUUGGCGAGGUCGAGCAGCUGGAGUUUAGAGAGCCGCGACAACUCCACAGGGAUUACCCCUGUGAAAUUGUUUGAUCUAAGGCUAAGGAUUCUCAACGACGGAACCUGGGUCCCGAUCCAUGGAGGGAUGGCACCGAAGAACUUAUUACUCCCGAUGUCGAGGGUGGCCAGCGAGUCGCAACCUUCCAAGACCCGCGGGAAGGUGCCGGUGAAGUCAUUGCCGGCGAGAUGGAGCGACUCGAGGGAGCAGUUGUGACUUGCCUUGGCAGCGGGGAUUUGGCCCGAGAAGGAGUUGUUGGAGAG